rnacentral:lncRNA from 1 species
CUCACAAGGACUAUCCUGGCCAAGAUUUUGCUAAAUUGAAACACGAUUGUACACAGCUCCUAAACUGGAGUGGUCAAUCCCAUCUUGACACAUGCACCGAUAAGUCAAAUACUUGACUACACCGAGCAGCCUUCCGUCACUGAAUUAAAAAUUCAAGUAGCCCAGUGCCUAAGUGCAGUGAGUUGCUUGCAAGUCACCGUGGCGGUCUC